rnacentral:rRNA from 1 species
GACGAACGCUGGCGGCGUGCUUAACACAUGCAAGUCGAGCGGUAAGGCCUCUUCGGGGGUACACGAGCGGCGAACGGGUGAGUAACACGUGGGUGACCUACCCUCAGCUCUGGGAUAAGCCUGGGAAACUGGGUCUAAUACCGGGAUAUGACUACAUGUCGCAUGGUGUGUGGUGGAAAGUUUGUCCUUUAUUGGGCACUUCGGUUGGGGAUGGGCCCGCGGCCUAUCA